rnacentral:rRNA from 1 species
AACGAACGCUGGCGGCAUGCCUAACACAUGCAAGUCGAACGAGGCCUUCGGGUCUAGUGGCGCACGGGUGCGUAACGCGUGGGAACCUGCCCUUAGGUUCGGAAUAACUCCCCGAAAGGGGUGCUAAUACCGGAUAAUGUCUUCGGACCAAAGAUUUAUCGCCUUUGGAUGGGCCCGCGUUGGAUUAGCUAGUUGGUAGGGUAAAAGCCUACCAAGGCGACGAUCCAUAGCUGGUCUGAGAGGAUGAUCAGCCACACUGGGACUGAGACACGGCCCAGACUCCUACGGGAGGCAGCAGUGGGGAAUAUUGGACAAUGGGCGAAGGCCUGAUCCAGCAAUGCCGCGUGAGUGAUGAAGGCCUUAGGGUUGUAAAGCUCUUUUACCCGGGAUGAUAAUGACAGUACCGGGAGAAUAAGCUCCGGCUAACUCCGUG